rnacentral:lncRNA from 1 species
CAGGAGCAGAGGGCAAGGCUGCCUCAGUUGCAAAUCCCUUCAGAGAAAACCUGAGUCCUCAGCUCCUCCACGCACCUGCCCCCUGCUGGGCCCCUCAGCUCCUGUUCCUUGACUCCUGCCUAGAACAACCCCCCUGGGGGACAGUGUGGGGAAGGACACUGUUCCUGUGUGUGUGUGUGGCUGGGCCUGGAACCACAGGGACAAACAGAGCCAGCUGCUGCACACAGACCUCAGCCUGCCUUCUGAAUGGGGGCUGGGGGCUGCUUUUUGCGCAGCCAGUGACUGCUGGCCAGCUGUGGGCUUCAGGGACAGGAG